rfam:Pelosinus fermentans B4 ctg5, whole genome shotgun sequence.
UACCCCAUCCAUUCGAGGGUAACUCUAUUGUGACUAGCGUAGAUGGCAACGUUUGGGUUAGAAAGCUCACGAAACAAUGUAGAAAACUUAAAAGUUGACUUUUAAAACAGCAUCAUUUAAAAAAUCAC